GAUGAACGCUGGCGGCGUGCCUAAUACAUGCAAGUAGAACGCUGAAGGAAGGAGCUUGCUCUUUCCGGAUGAGUUGCGAACGGGUGAGUAACGCGUAGGUAACCUGCCUGUUAGCGGGGGAUAACUAUUGGAAACGAUAGCUAAUACCGCAUAACAGUAGAUGUUGCAUGAUAUCUACUUAAAAGGUGCAUUUGCACUCCUACCAGAUGGACCUGCGUGGGAUUAGCUAGUUGGUGAGGUAACGGCUCACCAAGGCGACGAUACAUAGCCGACCUGAGAGGGUGAUCGGCCAAACUGGGAAUGGGACACGGGCCAAAAUUCUAAGGGAGGGAGGAGUAAGGAAACGUCGGGAAUGGGCGGAAGGCUGACCGAAGAAAGGCGCGUGAGGGAAGAAGGGUUUCGGAUCGGAAAGGUCUGUUGUAAGAGAAGAACGAGAGUGAGAGUGAAAAGUGCACGCUGUGACGGUAUCUAACCAGAAAGGGACGGCUAACUACGUG
rnacentral:rRNA from 1 species